UACAGAGGUCUCAAGCGUUGUUCGGAUUCAUUGGGCGUAAAGGGCUCGUAGGCGCCAACUAAGUCAGACGUGAAAUCCCUCGGCUUAACCGGGGAACUGCGUCUGAUACUGGAUGGCUUGAGUUUGGGAGAGGGAUGCGGAAUUCCAGGUGUAGCGGUGAAAUGCGUAGAUAUCUGGAGGAACACCGGUGGCGAAGGCGGCAUCCUGGACCAACACUGACGCUGAGGAG
rnacentral:rRNA from 1 species